rnacentral:rRNA from 1 species
GAUGAACGCUGGCGGCGUGCUUAACACAUGCAAGUCGAACGGAAAGGCCCAAGCUUGCUUGGGUACUCGAGUGGCGAGCGGGUGAGUAACACGUGGGUGAUCUGCCCUGCACUUCGGGAUAAGCCUGGGAAACUGGGUCUAAUACCGGAUAGGACGAUGGUUUGGAUGCCAUUGUGGGAAGUUUUUUCGGUGUGGGAUGAGCUCGCGGCCUAUCAGCUUGUUGGUGGGGUAAUGGCCUACCAAGGCGUCGACGGGUAGCCGGCCUGAGAGGGUGUACGGCCACAUUGGGACUGAGAUACGGCCCAGACUCCUACGGGAGGCAGCAGUGGGGAAUAUUGCACAAUGGACGCAAGCCUGAUGCAGCGACGCCGCGUGGGGGAUGACGGCCUUCGGGUUGUAAACUCCUUUCGCUAGGGACGAAGCGUUUUUGUGACGGUACCUGGAGAAGAAGCACCGGCUAACUACGUG